CAAAACCUGGUUGAUCCUGCCAGUGUCGUAUGCUUGUCUCAAAGAUUAAGCCAUGCAUGUCUAAGUAUAAGCACUUAUACUGUGAAACUGCGAAUGGCUCAUUAAAUCAGUUAUAGUUUAUUUGAUGGUACCUUACUACUCGGAUAACCGUAGUAAUUCUAGAGCUAAUACGUGCGCACAUCCCGACUCACGAAG
rnacentral:rRNA from 1 species